GACAGUGGGUGCAAACGUUGUUCGGAAUUACUGGGCGUAAAGCGUGUGUAGGCGUCUACGUAAGUCGGACGUGAAAGCCCCAGGCUCAACCUGGGAAGUGCACUCGAUACUGCGUAGCUUGAGUAUCGGAGAGGUUGGUGGAAUUCUCGGUGUAGAGGUGAAAUUCGUAGAUAUCGAGAGGAACACCGGUGGCGAAGGCGGCCAACUGGACGAAUACUGACGCUGAGACACGAAAGCGUGGGGAGCAAACAGG
rnacentral:rRNA from 1 species